rnacentral:rRNA from 1 species
CAGUAGCCGCGGUAAAACGGAGGGUGCAAGCGUUAAUCGGAAUUACUGGGCGUAAAGCGCACGCAGGCGGUUUGUUAAGUCAGAUGUGAAAUCCCCGAGCUUAACUUGGGAACUGCAUUUGAAACUGGCAAGCUAGAGUCUUGUAGAGGGGGGUAGAAUUCCAGGUGUAGCGGUGAAAUGCGUAGAGAUCUGGAGGAAUACCGGUGGCGAAGGCGGCCCCCUGGACAAAGACUGACGCUCAGGUGCGAAAGCGUGGGGAGCAAACAGGAUUAGAUACCCCUGUAGUCCCUGUCUCUUAUAC